UCUUCCGUAGUAUAGUGGUCAGUAUGUGAGCUUGUCAUUCAUGAUUCCGCUCGAGACCCGGGUUCAAUUCCCGGCGGGAGAG
rnacentral:tRNA from 1 species